AGAUGUGAGGAUGAUCCGGCUGCAACAUCUGUCACCCCGUUGAUCCCCAGGGUUGAUUCAGCUCAUCUGGCUGGCUAGGCGGGCAUCAUCUUCCUCCCUCCAUGCUCUGUGUACGUCCCAAAAACUGUGUGCUGCGUCGAAGUGGGCAAUCACCCUCCUUGAUCAAGGAGGACUACUCCCCUCCUUAGCAAGGGUACAAGAGUAGAUUCACUCCUCUGCAGGAAUCUCCAAACAAGCAUUCGCUGAGGUAGAACCUUUCUAUAUCAAUUUUCAACAGAGCUCUUUGAAAUUGUGAAUGGGUUCUGU
rnacentral:snRNA from 1 species